rnacentral:lncRNA from 1 species
AGAAACAGCCUAGCCCCUGAAGGCAGGGGCCUGUAGAGCUUAUUCCUGCGAUCCAAGUCUGAUGUCACAAAGAAGGGGGUUUCAGGGGAAGGGAACUCCUAGGACCAGGGAAAUGAAAAUGCUGCCUGCUUGGUUCUCCUCUGGCAUGCUAAGGACUAUUCAAAUUCCCUGUGACCUACAGAUGCUACUCAGCACCCUGGCUGCUUCCUGGUCCUUCCACAGAAGCAAAAUGGAAUUUCAGCACCUCUCUUGUAGCUUCCAACAGCACCAUGCCAGCACAGAGUGUCUGGAAGGUCACACACUCUGUGGUCAUCCAUCAGAGCCAGUAGGAGGACAUCCACAGGAAGAACUUGCCAUUUUCAGUGGAAAACAAGUGACAGUUACCGACUAUGAUGACCUUGUUGACUAUGACCUUGUACUUUGGAUCUGGUUUUGCUGCACCUUCCUUUAUAGUAAAACAACUGCUUAAGAAAUAAGAUGUUUUAAUUAAUUCAUUUAACAGAUAUGAAAUUUUUUCCAAAAAAAAUUUUUUUUGAGACAGAGUCUCACUUUGUAGUCCAUCCUGGCCUUGAACUCUUGAUCCUCCUGUUUCAGCCUCUUGAGCACUGGAACUAUAUACAGGUGUAUACCAACAGCCUAGCUCUGAAAAAAAUUUUUUUUUUUUUUGGUACUGGGGAUCGAACUUGGGACCUUGUAUUUGCAAGGCAGGCGGUGGAACCACUGAGCUAAAUCCCCAGCCCUGAAGGUUUUUGUGGGGUUUUUUGGUACCAGGGAUCGAACUCAGGACAUUGCGCCUGCGAGGCAGGAGGCAGAACCACUGAGUUAAAUCCCUGGCCCCCUGAAGAAUGUUUUAAGAGGUACAAUUUCUUUGAAAAAUGGAACAAACUCUAGAAUCCAUAUAGCAUACUGGAUAUGUUUAUAAGUCAGCUAUUGAGAUGAAUGCUUAAUGCUUCUCUGAAAUGGGAAAUGUGAUAAUUAAACUUCCUUUUUUUUUUUGGGUACCGGGGAUCGAACUCUGGACCUUGCACUUUCGAGGCAGGCAACAGAACCACUGAGCUAAACCCCCGGC